UAUUGGUCAAUGGACGCAAGUCUGAACCAGCCAUGCCGCGUGGAGGAUGAAGGUCCUCUGGAUUGUAAACUUCUUUUAUCUGGGACGAAACACUUCUUUUCUAAGAGGCCUGACGGUACCAGAUGAAUAAGCACCGGCUAACUCCGUGCCAGCAGCCGCGGUAAUACGGAGGGUGCAAGCGUUAGCCGGAUUCACUGGGUUUAAAGGGUGCGUAGGUGGGUAUGUAAGUCAGUGGUGAAAUCCGCGAGCUUAACUUGGGAACUGCCAUUGAUACUAUAUAUCUUGAAUACCGUAGAGGUAAGCGGAAUAUGUCAUGUAGCGGUGAAAUGCUUAGAUAUGACAUGGAACACCAAUUGCGAAGGCAGCUUACUAGGCGGUGAUUGACACUGAGGCACGAAAGCGUUGGUAGCAAACA
rnacentral:rRNA from 1 species